CACACUAGAACGGAUCCGACGUCAGGGACGAAGCCUAGGGGCACGAACCGGAUUAGAUACCCGGGUAGUCCUAGGUGUAAACGCUGUGGACUUGGUGUUGGGGACUCUCCGAGAUUCCUCAGUGCCGAAGCGAAGGUGAUAAGUCCACUGCCUGGGGAGUACGGUCGCAAGGCUGAAACUUAAAGGAAUUGGCGGGGGAGCACCGCAACCUGAGGAUUGUGCGGUUUAAUUGGAUUCAACGCCGGAAAACUCACCAGUGCCGACGGACAAAUGAAAGCCAGUGUGAUGAGCUUGCUGGAUUGUUCGAGAGGUAGUGCAUGGCCGCCGUCAGUUCGUACCGUAAGGCGUUCUGUUAAGUCAGAUAACGAACGAGACCCUCAUCCCUAUUUGCUAAGGUCAGUCCGCUGAUCACAGGACUAUAGGGAGACCGCUGGCGCGAAGUCAGAGGAAGGCGAGGGCAACGGUAGGUCAGUAUGCUCCGAAUGCACUGGGCUACACGCGCAAUACAAAGGACGGGACAAUGGGCCGCUGCGCCGAGAGGCAUGUGGCUAUCCCGAAACCCGUUCGUAGUUCGGAUUGAGGGCUGUAACUCGCCCUCAUGAAGCUGGAUUAGGUAGUAAUCGCGUCUCAAAAAGGCGCGGUGAAUAUGCCCCUGCUCCUUGCACA
rnacentral:rRNA from 1 species